GGGGACGUGGCGGAAUUGGUAGACGCAUCGGACUUAAAAUCCGAAGGGCCUAUGGCUCGUGAGGGUUCAAGUCCCUCCGUCCCCACCA
rnacentral:tRNA from 1 species